CCUACGGGAGGCAGCAGUGAGGAAUAUUGGUCAAUGGGCGUAAGCCUGAACCAGCCAAGUCGCGUGAGGGAUGAAGGUUCUAUGGAUCGUAAACCUCUUUUAUAAGGGAAUAAAGUGUGGGACGUGUCCUGUUUUGUAUGUACCUUAUGAAUAAGGAUCGGCUAACUCCGUGCCAGCAGCCGCGGUAAUACGGAGGAUCCGAGCGUUAUCCGGAUUUAUUGGGUUUAAAGGGUGCGUAGGCGGCCUUUGAAGUCAGCGGUGAAAGUCUGUGGCUCAACCAUAGAAUUGCCGUUGAAACUGGGAGGCUUGAGGAUGUUUGAGGCAGGCGGAAUGCGUGGUGGAGCGGUGAAAUGCUUAGAAAUCACGCAGAACCACGAUUGCGAAGGCAGCCUGCCAAGCCAUGACUGACGCUGAUGCACGAAAGCGUGGGGAUCAAACAGGAUUAGAUACCCCUGUAGUC
rnacentral:rRNA from 1 species